ACCUCCCCAACUAAAGGCAGUGUCUCCGUCAACAACCGUGACGAGGAACUGCAGAGGAUCCUGCUGAGGCGGCGGGAUGCACUGGAGUAGCGCAAGUCUCCAUCCCAUUCUCUCCCCAGCAGUGUGAAGGGUGCCACGAGACCAAGGUUGGCCCUGACACAAGUAUCCACCUACACACACUGGAUGUGGGUGACGGAAGAUCACAUAAUGCAAAAUCUAUAUCUAGCAUUUUAUUUUAGUGUGUAGACACAUUGCAUUUAAAAUAUAAAUUUGACUGUAUUAUGAGGAGUCAGUACUACAGUCACAUAGGUCUUCAGUGGAUUUCAACAUCAGAAAAAUAAUCAAGCCAGAGGUUACACAGAAUGUGGACUAAGAGCACAAGCGUGUCAGUGAUACAUUGAGGCCAUUUGAUUUCCUUGAAAUGAAAGAUGUGUAUCCCACCCCACCUUUUUAAGGUUCAUUCAGCUGUUCUAAGGUAAAGCCCAGUUUUUGUUUGGAUUGUGAGGAACAGUGGAGCCAGUUAUGCAGCCUUGAGCUUUUGCCUAAACAGAGUAUGUCUCUGAAUUGUUCAGUCUAGACCAGAAUUAACCUUGUAGCCUCCCAGUGAGCAGUACAGACUACUGUGGCAGACUUUGUUUCCACUGUUCCGCUCCUCACUCACACUUACACCCCCCAUCCUUUAUGUAGGGCACUGCCUCCUCUCUGCUGCCUCUACCCUCCAGUUUGUACUACCUGUCCUGCUUUAGAAUGGAUGUCAAGCUUUGGCCAUGUCACUUCGAGAAUACAGGGCAAAUCAAGGGACGAACACUUUGAGAUGCACUGAUGGCGAGCAUUUAGAGCAAAAACAGAACAGCUGUAUUAAGGCAUGCAUUGGUCUCCAUGUAACAGUGAGAAGAAUAUAAUUAAAAAAGGCCAGUCAUUUAAUAAUUUAAUAUAGAUUCAUAUGUUAUGAGGAUGUUUAGAUUUUUUUUCUUUUAUUUUCUUUUUAAACCUGUCUAUGGAUAGAUUUUACAACUCUGGAAGUUAUCACAGCAGCAAUAAUUUUAUCCUUGCAUCUCAACAGACAAAUGCAAAGAGAUUUUAAGAGAGACGUAAUUUUGCCCAGAUUACAAUUUAAUCAACAUAUAUAGACAGAACAGACAGAACAUGUACAUAGACAGAACAUGUCUAUUGAACCAUUUAACAACAGUUAAGUCCAAAAUGUUGAAAGUAUCAAUAAAAUGUUCACUGAUACUGUA